rnacentral:antisense_RNA from 1 species
GUCAGGGUUGGGGAUUACUGGCUCAGAAGCAGGAAAUCUCAUGUAGAAGCCCAGAACUUUCAAGAGAUAAGAAGUAGAGAGAUUCUGGUUUAAAGAGAGAUGACAGAAGCCCUGAAUGUCCUCUCUUCUGCUCCCCCAGAUACCUUCAUGGACUACAGGGCUGUACAUACGGUUAGACUCCUUGGCCUCAAUGGUCAUGGGAUACAUGAACUUCAGGCUUAAUCUCUGUGUGAGAAAAACAGCAUGAAGAUAAUCAACUCUAUGUCAGAAGAAAUUGGCAACACUACUAACCAAGAGUAAUGCACACCGAAGGGUUGUGAAGAGGACGUUACUAUUUGUACACUGUUUUGAGCAGUGCCUGCUGUACAGUAAGGACCAUAUAUGUGUUUAUAAAAUAAAUCUUAGUUGCUAGAGGCAACACCAGGCA